rnacentral:lncRNA from 1 species
GCUCAUUCUGGGUCUGUAAUGGAGUCUGUGAGGAGCUCAGCUUCCUGGGGUGGAAGGAGCAAUGCCAAGAGUGCCAGGGGAAGCAGGAGCAGCAGGAGCAGAGCAGUGGGCUCAGGGUGGUGCCAGAAUGCCACGGGUGACCUCAAGGACAAAAGCAAUCGCUUCUUAUUAGGCCAAGGCUGGAUUGUCCAACCCCUGUGAGGGCAGCCCAUUCCCCUGUUCUGUAAGGAAGUUCUCUACACAACAGAGCCAUACUUCAUCUGCACACAAGAACCUGGGAUUGUUCUGGGAGACUGUGUAAAAAAUGAGGCUCCAUGGCUGGCGAGAAACUAGCAACA